GAGAGAGAGAGAGCGAGAGAGAGAGAGAGAGAGAGAGAGAGCAGCCCGCCGGCCCAUUGAGGAAAGAUGGCUACAGUCACUGCAAACGGAGUGCAGCAAGAGAAUGGAUUCAGCACCACGAACAGCGCCGGCAGGAUGAACGGGCUUACCAUCGGCCAGAACACCAUUCCAAUGAAGGACCACGACGCCAUCAAGCUUUUCAUCGGGCAGAUUCCCAGAAACCUGGAGGAAAAAGACCUGAAACCCCUGUUUGAGGAAUUCGGAAAGAUAUACGAACUCACUGUUCUGAAAGACAGGUUUACGGGAAUGCAUAAAGGAUGUGCCUUUCUAACAUACUGUGCCAGAGAGUCAGCACUGAAGGCCCAGAGCGCCCUCCAUGAACAGAAGACUCUGCCAGGGAUGAACCGGCCCAUCCAGGUGAAACCUGCUGACAGCGAAGGACGAGGAGAAGACAGGAAGCUGUUUGUUGGGAUGCUCGGCAAGCAGCAAAGUGAGGAUGAUGUCCGGCGGCUGUUCGAGACCUUCGGCCAGAUUGAGGAGUGCACCGUCCUCCGAGGGCCUGAUGGGGCCAGUAAGGGCUGUGCCUUUGUCAAGUUCUCCAGCCAUGCAGAAGCACAGGCCGCCAUCAACAGCUUGCACGGUGGUCAGACUAUGCCUGGUGCCUCGUCGAGCCUGGUGGUCAAAUUUGCCGACACUGAUAAGGAGAGAACCCUGCGCAGAAUGCACCAGAUGGCAGGCCAGCUCGGCAUCUUCAGUCCCAUGACCAUCCAGUUUGGGGCCUAUGGCGCCUACUCUCAUGCUGUAAGUCUCAGCCCGGCGGGGGAGGAGACGCAGAUGAUGCAACAGCAAGCAGCCCUGAUGGCAGCAACACAAGGGUCCUACCUGAACCCUAUGGCAGCCAUCGCUGCCGCACAAAUGCAGCAAAUGGCAGCUUUCAAUGUCAACGGCCUGGUGGCUACUCCCAUGACACCUUCCUCAGGCACCAGCACACCCCCAGGCAUCUCUGCCACAGCCGUGCCCAGCAUAGCCACUCCUAUUGGGGUCAAUGGAUUCAGUGCCCUCCCACCUCAAAGCAAUGGGCAGCCCACAUCCGAGCCCAUUUACACCAAUGGUAUUCACCCUUAUCCAGCACAGAGUCCAACAGUGACCGACCCUCUCCAACAGGCUUAUGCUGGCGUCCAGCACUACGCAGCAGCCUACCCUGCCGCCUAUGCGCCAAUCAGCCAAGCGUUCCCCCAGCAACCAACCAUCAUUCCCCAGCAACAGAGGGAAGGGCCAGAAGGUUGCAACCUGUUUAUUUAUCACCUGCCCCAGGAGUUUGGAGACGCUGAGCUCAUGCAAAUGUUCCUACCUUUUGGCAACGUCAUCUCCGCCAAAGUGUUUGUGGACCGAGCGACUAAUCAGAGCAAAUGUUUCGGCUUUGUGAGUUUUGAUAACCCAUCCAGUGCUCAAGCCGCUAUCCAGGCCAUGAAUGGCUUUCAGAUAGGCAUGAAGAGGCUGAAGGUGCAGCUAAAGCGGCCAAAAGAUGCCAACCGACCUUACUGACUCGUCUGCUAUCCAUACCCAGGCCAAUCACAGUGUGAGGUGGCCUUUCUCCGCUAUAGCCACACACCCCCACACCUGUCAUGGGGCCAAGUUCCCUCAGCUGAUGAAGGGCCACAACACCUUAUUUCCACAAGUGCAGUAAAAGUACAAAGACUUCUUGCUCUGCUACAUAUCAUGAAGGAAGGGUGGUCCCUUGAUCCUCCUGGAAAGCCGCUGAAAGAUUGGGUGACUGAGAGAAGGAUCCCAGAGUUGUCGGGUUUUUUUGUUUGUUUAUUUUUUUUUUUAGUUUUUCUUCGCAAAUGCCUCUUUUUUUUCCUCUUUUGCUUUGGCGUCUGUGGAAGAAGAUUUUUUGCAGAGACCAACUUUUUGCUGCUGUUUUUUAGACAUGAUGGAGAAAAAAAAAACCUUUAUAGACUCAUUAUGCUCAAAGCAUGCAUACUGACACAGGAUAUAGAUAAACACACGGAAAACAAACCAAACAUACACAUUUCAAAAAUGCUACACUUAAAGAAAAAAAAAAAAGGAAAAAAAAACUUUGUACAUGUAUAAAUAAGUGCAAAUGCCAACACAAGAACUGAAGCAAACUCAUGCGUGUGCGCACACACACACAAAUAACACACAAACACACACACCAGCCUGCUGCCAUUUUGGUUUUUGUGCCUACACAGGUGUUGUGCUCUGUGACAGGGCAAGCUCUGGAUCGAAGAAGAAAACAAGAAGAAAAGGAGAAAAGUGGAGAAUCCAGGAUAAUUUACAUGCAUCAUUCCUUAGGAAAUAGGGACCAAAGGACUAAACGCUUUUUAAAAGAAUAUAAAUAUAUAAAUAUAUAAAUAUAUAUUUAAAAACUCAUACCUUGUAGCUGCAAGUAUUACAAUUUACUCGUAGUAAAAAAAAACAAACAAAAACAUUAAAUCAAUAUCCAGUGGCCUACUGUAAGUAUGAAUAAAAGAACAUGGAAAUAAUGUAUAAAAAAAGACAUGGAAACGUAGUAUAGGGGCUGAUCUUUUGCUCUGGAUGCUGAUUUAGCACCAGGUUGUAGAAUAGUAGAGUAGACUAGAAAAAAAAAGUGUAGAUUUGCUAACUUUUGCUGUUGUUUAAAAAAAAUACUUGAAGUUGUAAUGAAAAUGGGGCAAAAGAGGGGUGGGAUGGUGUGGGGGGAAACAUUCAUCUGCCCCUGUACGCAACGACUCUCUUUCUCUUGGAUGUUAACGUAUCAGCCACUGGAUAUCGCGCUCAUCAUGAUGUACAAGUCACCGCACUCUCUGACAGAUGUGGAGAUGAUCUUCUGGAAGAAAACAAAAGAAUAAGAAGAAAAAAAAAGACUGACUUUACUGAUGUCUGUGCUGGACGGGGUGCAGAUGUUUAAGGCUUCACUGGCCUUUGUGUUCAAGCGACAAUCCACUGUAAAGACCAAGUAAAAUGGACAUGGGGUGUCUUUUUUUUUUGUUGUUGUUGGCCUUUUUGUAUUGCUACAUGAAGUGUGAAAUAUGAAGCCACAAACUUCUAAAAGGAGAUGAUUAAAAGUGAGAUGGACAAAUGGAUGGUCAUGACCGAAAGAGUAAAGAGGGAAGGAGAAAAAAGUGAUAGCUAUUGUAACUGCCAGCAGAAUGUAUUUGGUUUAGUAAUGAAUUGGCUCUUGUGGUAUCAGCAUUCUCUCAAAAAAACAAAGUAUGCCCAUCAUAAGCAGCCACAAAUUUUGAGUGACAUGUCAAGGAUAUGUGCGUGUCCACUGAAGCUGCUGCAAAACUCUAGACUGAGAAAAAAAUGAAUUCUUGUCUGUUGGCAAAUUUCUCUAAAGAUGAAUUCAAUUUACUUCUGUGUUGCAGGAAAGGAGUGCCGGCUUUUAGAGCACAUUUACCUGUGUAAUGUUAAUUCCACUGUUAACAUGCUCCCUGACCUGCGUAAUGUACACAUUAUUCAUAAAGUCCAUGGUAAAAAAAA